CGAUAUUCCUUUAGAUUGGUGGAUUUCUUGUCGUGGGCUGAUAGUCCCAUACCCGUAGCCAGGGGGUUCGGGGGGUUCGGACGACCCCCCCCCCCUUGAAAUCAAAUAAGCACUGUUUAAAUCAGCGUUUUGUUCAAAUUGUGACUGUUAACAGUCGAGUUCAUGAGUCUAACGAACCCCCCCCCCUUGAAAAUUCCUGGCUACGGGCCUGAGUCCCGUAGGUAAACGAAUUGAUUGCCAUGAUUUGAUUCGAUAUUACUUUAGAUUAUCAAUAGAUUGCAUGUCCAUGACAAAAAAUGUUGUCCAAAUCCGACUUUUAAAAAGUUUUACGAAUCGAUUGUUGUGGUUUGAUAUCCCGUUAGUGUAUGGAUUGAUUCUUUUUAACAGAUGGCAGCACCAAUUACCACACAACCGCAACCCCAGCCUGGGAGCUUGCUUGUCUCAACAGUUCAUGGUCAUCGAAACUGGUCCACUGGUAUUUUUGACUGUUUCACAGAUAUCAAAACAUGUAAGAAAAACGUUAAUGUACAAAGUCUUAUAACAAAUUCGUAUAUGUAUUUUAAAAUAUUUUUUUGAAAGUACAAUGAUAAAUUGAAGAAUUGCAAAAAUAUUUUUUGUCUUGCGGAUAAUUUCAAUAUCAACAAAUGUUUCACUAUGUUUCACUAUUUAAUGACAGCCUUGUAACUGAUGUAUGCUCGAGACCAAAAGUGGCGAAAGCAAGAUACUAUAAUAAUGAUAACAUCUGAAAAGAUAAAAUCAAUACAAUCUUGAUUUUUGUAUAAAUACACUGUACCAUAAGAUAAUGUUUUGUUUUUAUAGUGAUCAAUAUUAUAACUCAAUGUUUACUGCUGAUACAGCAUGUUUUUGACAUUUUGACCUAUUAUGUCAGUUUGUCUUGUUAACACAUUAUUGUUAUCAAUUUAAUAAAAAUGUAUGGACUGUCAUACAAUUGAGAGGUAGUGCUAGCUAGCUACAAAACGAGAUUUACUUUUCUAUUUUCUACAUGAGAAAAUGCUUGUACCAAGUCAGGAUGACAGUUGUUGUCCAUUCGUUUUUUAUGUGUUUUGUCAUUUUAUUUUGCCAUGUGAUUAGGGACUUUCCGAUUUUAUUUUACUCGGAGUUCAGUAUUUUUGCGGUUUUACUUUUUUUCCAUUUGUUUGAUGUGUUUGAACUUUUGAUUUUCCCUUUGAUAAGGGACUUUGCGAUUUGAAUGUUCCUUGGGGUUUUUGUAUUUUUGUACGUGUUUCCAAAAUAUAUUUUGUAUUUUUUCAUUGUUUUGACAUAAUGACUCGACGUUGCUAUAUAAAGAAAGGAUAGUGACACCAUGUUACUAAAAUAGUAACAUAGCCUUAAUAUCAUUUUCAAAAACAGUAACAUAGCGUUAAUAUCAUUUCCAAAAAUAGUAGCAUAGCGUUAAUAUCAUUUCCAAAACUAGUUACAGGCUUAAUGAAAAAUACUUCUUCUAGUGAAAAGUAAAAACACAAAAAUACUGAACUCCGAGGAAAAUUCAAAAAGGAAAAUCAAAAAUCAAAAGGCAAAAUCAAAAGUCCAAGCACAUCAAACGAAUGGAUAACAACUGUCAUAUUCCUGACUUGGUACAGGCAUUUUCUAAUGUAGAAAAUGGUGGAUUGAUUCGGUAUUCAUUCAUCUGUGUUCUUGAUAAAGCGUUAUAUACACAUUUAAUUCAUAUUUUUCUUUCCAUAUUAUAAAUACAACAUUAUGAAACACACAUUUAGUAUGUGAUAGGCAUAACACGUAACGAUACGUAUUAACAUACUUUAAAAUCAUGUUCAACACAGAAAACAAUUGUCCGAAUAUAUACAUAAACCGAAACCGAAACACAAACAUGCAUCGAAGUAAGGAAUUUCUUUUGUCAUGCAAAUAAGCAGAUCUAGGGAAACAUAGAUAUACAGCAGAAUUGUCAGAAUUGUUUUUUUAGGUUGCAGGUAUUAUAUCGUGGUUCCAUUUGCACUGCAUGACAUGUAAUCUAUCUGUCAGAAUUGUUUUAUUAUAUUGCAGGUAUUAUAUCGUGGUUCUGUUUGCCAUGCAUGACAUGUAAUAUAUCAGGCAGAUUUGUUUAUUGUGUUUGAAUGCCAUUUUAUUAUUAUUUUGCAGGUAUUAUAUCGUGGUUCUGUUUGCCAUGCAUGACAUGUAAUCUUUCAGGCAGACAAGGUGAUUGUGCUUGUAUGCCAUUUUGUGUGCCUGGUGGGUCUAUUACCAUGAGAUCUAGAAUCAGAACACUUGGUGGAAUUCAGGUGAGAAUUUGCAGUUGCCUGUCAUGUUUAAUUGUUUAAUUCUGAUAUUUAAUGGGAUAGAAAUUCAUUGGACGAUACAUUCUGGAUUAUUUUCACUUGAAGAACUAUAAAAUCAUGGUUUAAAACAAAGUUAUAUAUAUAUUGAAAUAUUUUAAAGUAUUGUUUAAUUUUUCUUGAUUCUCAUUGGUUUAUUUGGUCACGUGUUUCCAAAAUAUAUUUUGUAUUUUUUCAUUGUUUUGACAUAAUGACUCGACGUUGCUAUAUAAAGAAAGGAUAGUGACACCAUGUUACUAAAAUAGUAACAUAGCCUUAAUAUCAUUUUCAAAAAACAGUAACAUAGCGUUAAUAUCAUUUCCAAAAAUAGUAGCAUAGCGUUAAUAUCAUUUCCAAAACUAGUUACAACGAGUCAAUAUCGUUUAAAAACCCACGCUAUGGUCUACAUGUGCAAUAAAUGUUAGGGGCAGUGCAACAACUCCAAGAUCCUAUCUUUCAAACAAUUUCAAUCUAACUGGACUUGUUUGCUUUGGAUAGCUGUCCAUAUCAAAGAAAAUCCUUCACUAUUAGCCAAAAAGUCGGCAUGUUUCUUUCUGUAAAAAGUUAUCAAAAAUCAUGAACGACUGUACACCAACUGUCAUAUAUCCGACUUGGUACAGGUAACAAACAUAAAAAAGUCAUAUAGACAAAGCAAGUUAGCAAAAUUGAAAGAUAAAAAUGUAAAAAUUAUCACAGAAAAAUGACUGGAUGUAUAAUUACAGAGCCAUGUCUUACUCGAACUGUUUUUGAGGUAUAUUAUUAUCGUAAACUGAUACUACAUCUAAUAUUAAAAAAUGAUAUGUUAUGAUAUUUUUAUCAUAUGAUUCAACGAUUGCCUGUGAAUAAUGUAAAUUUGCAUUUUUUUUUUUGGCAGUGAAUUACUUACUAGUUAUUCCAUCAUUACAAUACUUUUUUUUUUAAUUUCAGGGUACUGUGUGCAAUGACUGUCUCGUGAUGCAGUUUUGUGGUCCAUGUGCAAUUUGUCAGAUGUCUAGAGAACUUGACAAUAUGGGCAUUCCAUAAUCAAGACAGACAAAUUCAAAUGAUAACAUUGAAACAACAUAUAGACAAAAAUCGUAUUUUGAUAACAUUUUAGACUCAUAAGAGCUUAUACUGCUCUUCAAACAUGUUUAUUAUAAAUCUUAUUCAAUCUUUUUGUGAUUGAAGGCAUAUAUAUUUCAUUUUUAAUAUUUUGUUUUGUUUUGACUUUUCUAUUUUCUUGUAUUAUUCGUCAACAUUAAAAAUAUAUUCAUUGGACCGACCUAUUAAAAAGUUUGUAUUUCACAAUUCAUCGAUAGGAACAACUCGAUAAUUUAUAAUGUGUCCCUAAAAAAUUCUUAAGUGCCAUUUAAAAUUUAGCAUGUUCUGUCUGUGACCUACAAUGUGUUACUGAGGUAAAUCAUUCAGUCCGAAAACGCCUCAAUGGACAGGAGAGAUAGAAAGUCGUUUCUUCAAUGGACACAAUACUAAAGUGGUCAUGCCACAAUCUCAAUGACAAGUUUAUGCCACAAUCUCAAUGACAAGUUUUUCAAUAAACAGAGCUCCGAUUAUGCAAUAAUGCUCCAAAAAGACCCCUGCACAGAAUAGAAAGAAGCAGAAUUACCGAUUGAAAUUAUACCUAGUGGUGGGUUCGAGAGAGAAUUUUUAUAGGAACUUGAUGUUCCUUAUCCAUAUGGCAUUCACAUAAAAGAGCUAAUAUCUUAAGAUAACUUUGAUAUUGUUGGAUUUUUUUUUAUCAUGUUUUGGUUGUAUAAUUACAUUUUAAUAUUCAUGGAUGCCUGGAUCCACACAAACAAACAAACAAACACACAAACAAACACACACACACACACAUUUAUUCGAUCAUUUUUUUAUUUUUUUUCUAAGAGGUCAAAGUCUGUAGCAUUAAAAUGCAUUGAUUGAUUGAUGUUUAACCAUUUUCAGCACUAUUGGCUAUUCCAUGGCGGUCAGUUUUUAUUGCAAGAGAAUGCUAGAGUGCCCGACCUUCUUAGGAAACUGACAAUCCUAAUCAAUUAAGUUUAAAGUCGAGCUCACCCACUACGAGCGGAAUUCGAAACUGAAAACCUCAGUCUUGACAUAUUUGGGAUACAAUAAUUUGAAUGUUAACACAACUCAGUCCCUGAAUACAACAUAACCUCCAGUGAAUAUACCUUCCCUUUAUAACGUUAUAUGUAAGAGGGGACAUAAACUUUUUCUCAUGUCCCAAUUUAUGUAUUUUUAUAUUAUUCCUUCCGCUUUGUUCAGAUUGGAAAAGUGAACUGAGGAUGAUGAAAAUGUUCUCAUUUAAGUCUUAUUUAAUGAUGCCCAGUCAACAAGAAGAAUGCUGUUGAUCUUCAAAAAAUCAAUUAAUAGUAUGUAAAGUUUUAAAAGUUUUCAAAUUAUUUUUAUUCUCCUGAUUUUAAUGAGAAGAAGUUUGAACGAUAAUUAUCAGCAAUAAAAGCGAACAAAUCGUCCGAUUAGUCAAUAUAUCGUAUUUACUUUGAUUAUUACGUAUACUGUACUGCUAAAAAUUGUUUUAUUUUGUAAAUUUUUUUUCAACAACUAAUGAUACAUCUUCGGAUAAUUAAGGCCAUGAUGUAUUUUUGACAUAUGUUUUCCAGUUCUUGCUGUCAGAACUUUUCCGCUCCGAGUAUAGAUUCAAUAUAAAUUUUGAAAUCAUGAGCAAAACUACUGGUAGGGCGGACUCUGUAGCUAUCAAGUAUAGAAAGUAAUCAUGCUUGU
rnacentral:lncRNA from 1 species